CGCGAAGAACCUUACCAAAUCUUGACAUCCUCUGACCCCUCUAGAGAUAGAGUUUUCCCCUUCGGGGGACAGAGUGACAGGUGGUGCAUGGUUGUCGUCAGCUCGUGUCGUGAGAUGUUGGGUUAAGUCCCGCAACGAGCGCAACCCUUAAGCUUAGUUGCCAUCAUUAAGUUGGGCACUCUAAGUUGACUGCCGGUGACAAACCGGAGGAAGGUGGGGAUGACGUCAAAUCAUCAUGCCCCUUAUGAUUUGGGCUACACACGUGCUACAAUGGCGCAUACAAAGAGAAGCGACCUCGCGAGAGCAAGCGGACCUCAUAAAGUGCGUCGUAGUCCGGAUUGGAGUCUGCAACUCGACUCCAUGAAGUCGGAAUCGCUAGUAAUCGUGGAUCAGAAUGCCACGGUGAAUACGUUCCCGGGCCUUGUACACACCG
rnacentral:rRNA from 1 species